AUUGAACGCUGGCGGCAUGCUUUACACAUGCAAGUCGAACGGUAACAGGCCGCAAGGUGCUGACGAGUGGCGAACGGGUGAGUAAUGCAUCGGAACGUGCCCAGUCGUGGGGGAUAACUACUCGAAAGAGUAGCUAAUACCGCAUCCGAUCUAUGGUUGAAAGCGGGGGACCGUAAGGCCUCGCGCGAUUGGACCGGCCGAUGUCAGAUUAGGUAGUUGGUGGGGUAAAGGCUCACCAAGCCAACGAUCUGUACCUGGUCUGAGAGGACGACCAGCCACACUGGGACUGGGACACGGCCCAGACUCCUACGGGAGGCAGCAGUGGGGGAUUUUGGACAAUGGGCGCAAGCCUGAUCCAGCAAUGCCGCGUGCAGGAAGAAGGCCUUCGGGUUGUAAACUGCUUUUGUACGGAACGAAACGGCUCUGGUUAAUACCCGGGGCUAAUGACGGUACCGUAAGAAUAAGCACCGGCUAACUACGUG
rnacentral:rRNA from 1 species